AGAAUACUUUUGAUCAGUUGGAGUCUUCCAGCAUAGGAUAAGACCUUGGAUGACCAGCAUCUAAUUCUGUCCACUAUCCUUUCAAUCAAAGCAAAGCAUUGUGUGAUUGUGAUCUUUUUUGUUGAUAAGGGAACUCUCAAGUAUUUUGAAAGGGAAUUUCCCUUCUGUUAGUUGAAAAUCUGCCGGUAACUUCUCUUUGACUUCC
rnacentral:lncRNA from 1 species